rnacentral:tRNA from 1 species
ACUAUUUUGGCAGAAAAAUGCUAUAGAUUUAGAAUCUAUAAAUAUAAUUGAUGAUUAUAUAUAGUA